rnacentral:piRNA from 1 species
GCGGACGUUAUCGGCAUACAUAAACCCGG